rnacentral:lncRNA from 1 species
AUGGAUGAUGGCACCUUUAUAAUGGAGCAUAAAUUGAUCCAAUCUUGUGGCAAAUUCAGAUUGAAAGUUGGAAGGAUGUUUGGUAAGUCUUGAAUUGUGUUAUAGUCAAACAUGGUAUGAAGAUCAAAGUUGAGGUCCGCCCUUAAUCCCCAUUCGUGAACCCAUCGUUUAGACAAUGCACUAGUUUUCACCAAAUCCUUC